UCCACGUGUGUGUUCGUUCUCUCAUUUAUAACAUAGUUAAUUUGCUAAUGAUCAGUAUAUGUACAUACAAAGUUUUUCAAUUUCCCCCACAAAAAGGCAAAAUAAACGUAUCUAAAUAGAUGCGGAAAAAAAUAUUUUCUGUUUGUUAAGCCGAGUGAUUAAGUAUAAAAAAAAACUAAAUACGUGUCCUUCUAAACAAAUACUACAAAAAGAAAAGAAAAAAAAAACAUCACAGGAAAAUAGUGCAUACCAGUUACCAAAUCAGUUGGACCUACCGAAUUAGAUACAACAUUUAAUGUCUGGUUUAAUUAUUACAUUCUCACG
rnacentral:lncRNA from 1 species